UACGUAGGGGGCAAGCGUUAUCCGGAUUUACUGGGUGUAAAGGGAGCGUAGGCGGUUCAGCAAGUCAGAAGUGAAAGCCCGGGGCUCAACUCCGGGACUGCUUUUGAAACUGUUGAACUAGAUUGCAGGAGAGGUAAGUGGAAUUCCUAGUGUAGCGGUGAAAUGCGUAGAGAUUAGGAAGAACACCAGUGGCGAAGGCGACUUACUGGACUGUAACUGACGCUGAGGCAUGAGAGCAUGGGGAGCAAACAGG
rnacentral:rRNA from 1 species